rnacentral:rRNA from 1 species
UACGGAGGGUGCGAGCGUUGUCCGGAAUCACUGGGCGUAAAGGGCGCGUAGGCGGCAUGCCAAGCGUGUGGUGAAAGCCCGGGGCUCAACCCCGGGUCGGCCGUGCGGACUGGCGUGCUCGAGCACUGUAGGGGCGGGUGGAAUUCCCGGUGUAGCGGUGAAAUGCGUAGAGAUCAGGAAGAACACCGGUGGCGAAAGCGCUCUGCUGGACCUUAACUGACACUGAGGGACGAAAGCUAGGGGAGCGAAUGGG